CGGCAUAUGGUCCGUUUUAGAAUUCCCACGCUUUACCGUUUUACUUUUGAUGAUCAGUAAAGCGUAAGGAUUCUAAAACGGACUGUAU
rfam:Asian citrus Psyllid, Diaphorina citri - Florida Strain, whole genome shotgun sequence.